rnacentral:rRNA from 1 species
GAUGAACGCUGGCGGCGUGCCUAAUACAUGCAAGUCGAGCGAAUGGAUUAAGAGCUUGCUCUUAUGAAGUUAGCGGCGGACGGGUGAGUAACACGUGGGUAACCUGCCCAUAAGACUGGGAUGACUCCGGGAAACCGGGGCUAAUACCGGAUAACAUUUUGAACCGCAUGGUUCGAAAUUGAAAGGCGGCUUCGGCUGUCACUUAUGGAUGGACCCGCGUCGCAUUAGCUAGUUGGUGAGGUAACGGCUCACCAAGGCAACGAUGCGUAGCCGACCUGAGAGGGUGAUCGGCCACACUGGGACUGAGACACGGCCCAGACUCCUACGGGAGGCAGCAGUAGGGAAUCUUCCGCAAUGGACGAAAGUCUGACGGAGCAACGCCGCGUGAGUGAUGAAGGCUUUCGGGUCGUAAAACUCCGUUGUUAGGGAAGAACAAGAGCUAGUUGAAUAAGCUGGCACCUUGACGGUACCUAACCAGAAAGCCACGGCUAACUACGUGCCAGCCGCCGCGGUAA